UGGUAACAAGAUGGCUCUAUGAGCUGGCCAUACUCAGUAGUCAGAGUGAAACCGGCCAUGUAAAAACGACAAAGCAUAGGAUUCAGUGUAGGAGCUUGGGCCCCGUGGUAUCAGUUGACUUACAGACUGAGUUCAACCACAUGGGCAACAUAUUAAUCAAUCAUACCUAUGCAAUAAAGUCUUCAUAAAAACUAUGGACAACAAAGUUCUGGUGAGCAUCAUGGGUUGGCAACACUCCAGAGUGUUCAGAAAUAUCAAAUAUGAGCUGAAUAAGUAGUGGAAAGACAAGGAUUCAUCCGUUCCACAGACUACAAACCUGGCCGAUAGAGGGAAUAUUUCAUUUUAGAUCAAAUGAUUCACUGUCAUCUUUGUCUGAUAUUACAACAUAGUGACCACACAACUAUCCUCAAUGGUAUUUGACUACAUGGAUUCUGUAAAAAGAUGAAGCUUAAGAACACUAUUUUUUUUCAAGUGCAAUAUACUGUAGUCAUAAGAUGAAUGGGGUCUUGUCCAUAUAUCUACAUGAAAUUUAGAUAAAGCAAGCAAUGUGAAGAACACAUAAUCUCACAUUUUGCAUGUCAC
rnacentral:lncRNA from 10 species